GGAGGUAAAAGUCGUAACAAGGUUUCCGUAGGUGAACCUGCGGAAGGAUCAUUAUUGGAUUUUGAAACUUCAGGCUGCUGCUGGCUCUCCUCGGAGGGCAUGUGCACGCUUGUUGUCCAUUAUUUCUCCCACUGUGCACAAAUUGUAGACCUUUCAGUAGGCCUAUGUUGUUUUUCACAAUCUCUGAAUGUAAUAGAAUGGUUUUGAAUCUUGGGAAAUACAAUACAACUUUCAGCAACGGAUCUCUUGGCUCUC
rnacentral:misc_RNA from 1 species